GCCCUUGUCCAUUGUCUCUCUCCAUCUUUCCUGUGAGCUCCCUUCGUGCACUGGCAGUAACAUAUUGAUUAUACACCUCCCAGUCUCCUCAGGGAAAGCAGCAGGCUGACAUCCUUAUCCCACACAAAUUCUCCCAGGGCAGUUUCACCCCUUACACUGGGUGAGGUGGUGAGGAAAUUCCUGUUCCAGCACUGUGCCUGUGCCAGGCAGCAGCACAGGCAUCACCUGCCAGGGCUGGAGAGGCUGGGUGGCCUGGCAGGGAGAAUGAUAUCCACAGGGAGAGCAAAAUCCACUCAGAACCAGCACAGACACCCAGAAUCAAGCUCCAGAGCUUAGCAGCCAUUAUACCUGGGCUUUCCUUUUAUCCCUCCAAAUCCAGCUCCAGAAGCUGCAUUAGAGCAUCUGAUCCUUGGAAGUGUCCGAGCAAUUUCUAUAGCAGUCCCUCCUGUGUUUAAACAGAUUGCAGGUUUUCACUUCUCAAAAAGGAAGAUCUAUUCUAAUUUACCUAAAAACUACAAAACAGAACUGUAAAUAUUUUAUAUAUACUAUUUACCAGUUGUUUUUGUUCAUUUAUAGUCAAACCAUCUCUUUCAAACUUAACAAAUACUAGGAAAAAAUAUACUUAGUCAAGAUGUAAUGGUAAUUUCUGCUAAGUCUGUCAUGUCCCCUUUUUAGGUUAGUUCUCAGUAAGUCUAAUUUAUGCACUCACCAAUGGAUAUACAGAAACACUGAGCAUUUCCAAGAUAAAAUUAUUCAGCUUAAAAACACUCCUGGUUAGAGCAUAUCAUACUGCUGAUGGGGAAACUGGCAGAGAGACAAUUAGAGACCUCAUCAAAGCAAGGGGAGUUUUCAACAGAUGGGUUUGCUGUUGAGCAAUUCCACAGCCCCAUUAGGAAUCCUGAGGCAUCUCUACUUGAAGCUUUUAGGAAUCAGAGAAAAAACUGCACCAAGUUAUGUGUGAUCUUACUUCAUUUUAGGAGGUUGCCCGAGUUCUUUUACAGAAUCAUGCGUUUCAUCUGUAUGAAUUAAUGCAGAAUUCAACCAGACCAUAUCUUUUUCCAGGGAACCUGCUGUUGUUCCAGUCAGAGCAUCCCCUCACCUGUGCCCUGGUGCCUGCAGCAUCACUAAUGGAAGCAGUUUAGCAACAUUUUCUGGCAAGCAAGAGCAUGUGCACCAGGGAGAGGGAGAAGUAUCCUGCACUGGAGGGAGAGGAUGUGUUCGCUGAAGGGGAGAGGGAUCCUGUCAAUGUAAAACACACAAACAGAAUUAAAGCAUUCUGGGCUUUC